rnacentral:lncRNA from 1 species
GCUCUUGCUUUUUAUUUUUAGUGCUGUUUGUCAAGGGGUUCUCAUGAUAAAAAGAAUGACGUUGGGUAUCAGUGAUACACUGAUAAAAUCAGAGAGUAGCCCGGAGGUGAUCACACGAGUAAUCCUCCCCACUGUGACUUUUUCCACAGGAUCUGGGAUCCUGUGGGCCUCCAGAACAGCUUUUCUCUGGGUGAAGUUCAGUUCUCAUCAGCAGGCAGCUGAGAAAUUGGACUCACAUGGGAUAUGUGUGCUCUUACAGCAUAGGCUCCAACCUCACCUUUACAGGAAAAACUGCUCUUUCCAGCCAUGAUGAUCGAUAAGAGACUAGGUGCUACUCCCUAAAUGUAACCAAUGCAUUCACUAGUCCAGUUCAUCAGAGGUGCCUUGCUAUCUAGUCUCACCUCACGAAAUGUCCAAGAGGCAUAACUCCCAAAGAAUCACGUAGGUAAAUAUGAUGAAGAAGCGGCCUGUAGCACCUGACCGUAGCCAAAUUCCUGUUCAAACAUUCUGCACGCUCACACGACCCUCUCCAUACUCCAGAUGAAGUGGGAGAAAACCGGUGGGUUGAUCUUCCCAGCCCUGCCCUGCACCAGCUUCUGAUUACCUCCUUCUGGGUAUCUGAGAUGAUCCAAAUCUCACCGCUUCCCUGGUACAAAAAUACUCUUGCAUCAUUUUGCAGUCAUGGUGCUCCUGGUGAAGAGGGCACAUACUCCAGUACUUAGCUGCCUGUAGUGACCUCGUGCCGGUAUGCAAAAUGAAGGUCUGGGUGCUUCAUGCUAGCAGGGAAACAGAAAGGUUUACUGGAGAGGGAGCAAAUUUGUAUGUAAAGUUUCUGCAGAGCUAAAUCAAUUCCCAGGGAGUUUUUGAGCGGCUGAACAGCCUGGGGUAAUCAUUGCACUUCUCUGUUUCCAUUUCCUUUUCCUUCCAUUGCCUUUUCUCUCUUCUCGGCAGGGACUGUCUUCUUUUCCAUACUUGUCCAGCCUUUAAUUUGGUGGGGUCCUACCCCACCUGAGCACCUGCACCAGUACCGUGGUAUUGGUGGCCCUUUGCUUGCAGGACAGUCUGCAGGACACCUCCGCAGCUGCCCUCCCUCCUGUGAUACCUGCGGGUGAAAUGCAGGCAAACGCAUUCACGUUAGACAGAAAUCUGAUGCCAACUGCAUCUGGCAACUGCUCUGGCACUGCACAGGACUGCCCCAGGAUUUCUAGUUAUUUAUAAUUCUGCAUCAGAUUGGACCCAGUUGCUCCUGGUUAGAGAUCUUUUUGCAAUAACAAACUAAGAUUACAUGAAGAGCUUAAAAAAGAAUUGCACCCCUCCAGGCCUAAAUUACUUCCACUUAUAUACAACUGUCAUAUCUUUAAAGGGCAAAUGCGGAAAGCUAACACUGGGAAAUGUAACUCUACAACUGAGAUUAUCUGCCUGCCCUCUCUAGGCAAUCACAUAUCAUAUCUAUGAGGCCCUUCGUAGCAAAACCCAAAAUUCAAGCUAAGUGGAUGGAAGAUUUAUGUACAGGGUAGGAAACAACAGCUUGGGAGGAGGUGUAUUUGAAUGCUAGAGCCAGUUACAAAGACAAACCUCAAACACCAUACGACUGCUUUUGCAUAGCAUCUCACUCAUGUCUGGUAAAAUCACUCCAUGCUCACCCAGACUUUGCAAACUCCGAGUCACCAGCUGAGAAAGGCAUGGUGACGUACACGUUA